AGCAGCCGCGGUAAUUCCAGCUCCAAUAGCGUAUAUUAAAGUUGUUGCAGUUAAAAAGCUCGUAGUUGAAUUUCGGGAUCAAAUUGUUGGUCGUGCCUCGGUACGCACUGGUAUUAUUGGUUCCUACCUUCUGAAGAACCGCGAUGUCAUUAAUUUGGUGUCGUGGGGAAUCAGGACUGUUACUUUGAAAAAAUUAGAGUGUUUAAAGCAGGCUUACGCUUGAAUACAUUAGCAUGGAAUAAUGAAAUAGGACGUUUGAUUCUAUUUUGUUGGUUUCUAGGAUUGACGUAAUGAUUAAUAGGGAUAGUUGGGGGCAUUAGUAUUCAAUUGUCAGAGGUGAAAUUCUUGGAUUUAUUGAAGACUAACUACUGCGAAAGCAUUUGCCAAGGAUGUUUUCAUUAAUCAAGAACGAAAGUUAGGGGAUCGAAGACGAUCAGAUACCGUCGUAGUCUUAACCAUAAACUAUGCCGACUAGGGAUCGGAUGAUGUUAAUUUUUAAUGUACUCA
rnacentral:rRNA from 1 species